UACGUAGGGCGCAAGCGUUGUCCGGAAUCAUUGGGCGUAAAGCGCGUGUAGGCGGUCCACUAAGUCGGCUGUGAAAGUCCAGGGCUCAACCCUGGAAUGCCGGUGGAAACUGUCGAGCUAGAGUCCGGAAGAGGCGAGUGGAAUUCCUGGUGUAGCGGUGAAAUGCGCAGAUAUCAGGAGGAACACCAAUGGCGAAGGCAGCUCGCUGGGACGGUACUGACGCUGAGACGCGAAAGCGUGGGGAGCGAACAGG
rnacentral:rRNA from 1 species